rnacentral:rRNA from 1 species
AUUGAACGCUGGCGGCAGGCCUAACACAUGCAAGUCGAGCGGAUGAAGGGAGCUUGCUCCUGGAUUCAGCGGCGGACGGGUGAGUAAUGCCUAGGAAUCUGCCUGGUAGUGGGGGAUAACGUCCGGAAACGGGCGCUAAUACCGCAUACGUCCUGAGGGAGAAAGUGGGGGAUCUUCGGACCUCACGCUAUCAGAUGAGCCUAGGUCGGAUUAGCUAGUUGGUGGGGUAAAGGCCUACCAAGGCGACGAUCCGUAACUGGUCUGUGAGGAUGAUCAGUCACACUGGAACUGAGACACGGUCCAGACUCCUACGGGAGGCAGCAGUGGGGAAUAUUGGACAAUGGGCGAAAGCCUGAUCCAGCCAUGCCGCGUCUGUGAAGAAGGUCUUCGGAUUGUAAAGCACUUUAAGUUGGGAGGAAGGGCAGUAAGUUAAUACCUUGCUGGUUUGACGUUACCAACAGAAUAAGCACCGGCUAACUUCGUG